rnacentral:tRNA from 1 species
GGGCGGUUAGCUCAGAGGCCCAGAGCGCUUGCCUUACAAGCAAGAAGUCGGAGGUUCGAAUCCUCCACCGCCCACCA